rnacentral:tRNA from 1 species
UCCCUGGUGGCUCAGAGGUUAAAGCAUCUGCCUGGAAUGUGGGAGAUCCAGGUUCGAUCUCUGGGUCAGGAAA